AGUGAACGCUGGCGGUAGGCUUAACACAUGCAAGUCGAACGGCAGCACAGUAAGAGCUUGCUCUUACGGGUGGCGAGUGGCGGACGUGUGAGGAAUACAUCGGAAUCUACUUUUUCGUGGGGGUUAACGUAGGGAAACUUACUCUAAUACCGCAUACGACCUACGGGUGAAGGCAGGGGAUCUUCGGACCUUGCGCGAUUGAAUGAGCCGAUGUCGGAUUAGCUAGUUGGCGGGGUAAAGGCCCACCAAGGCGACGAUCCUUAGCUGGUCUGAGAGGAUGAUCAGCCACACUGGAACUGAGACAAGGGCCAGACUCCUACGGGAGGCAGCAGUGGGGAAUAUUGGACAAUGGGCGCAAGCCUGAUCCAGCCAUACCGCGUGGGUGAAGAAGGCCUUCGGGUUGUAAAGCCCUUUUGUUGGGAAAGAAAAGCAGCAGGUUAAUACCCCGCUGUUCUGACGGUACCCAAAGAAUAAGCACCGGCUAACUUCGUG
rnacentral:rRNA from 1 species